rnacentral:lncRNA from 1 species
GGACAUUCUCCACUAUUACCCGUUGGCAAAGACGCAAUUGGCCCAGUUAGCCCAAUUGUAGUCGGACGGCGACCGUGUGAGCCUCAUAAUUAUCCCACCUCGCUUAACUUGGGAGGAGGAAGCCACUUUAAAAGGGAGAGCCACCCUUCCCCCAUUGGACUAGUCUUUUGGGGCGAUUGGGACUUUCCCUAAGUUGGGUGUGCUUAAUGAACUAUUGGGCUCCAGGCAACCCUAAUUUGUUGGGCCUUGGCCAACCCCACCUGGGCUGGGUGUAUCAUCUGGUAUCAGAGCUAGGGCCCAUUUUAAGAAGGUGGGAAUGAUAAGGACAUCCUCCACUAUUACCCGUUGGCAAAGACGCAAUUGGCCCAGUUGGUCCAAUUGUAGUCGGACGACGACCGUGUGAGCCUCAGAAUUAUCCCACCUCGCUUAACUUGGGAGGAGGAAGCCACUUUAAAAGGGAGAGCCACCCUUCCCCCAUUGGACUAGUCUUUUGGGGCGAUUGGGACUUUCCCUGAUUUGGGUGUGCUUAAUGAACUGUUGGGCUCCGGGCAACCCUAAUUUGUUGGGCCUCGGCCAACCCCACCUGGGCUGGGUGUAUCAAUUAAGCUUUAGUGGAUUGGUAAUUGCAAUCGUUUGAGCUUAUGGUACUUCUUUCUCUUAUAACUCCCAC